rnacentral:rRNA from 1 species
UACAGAGGUCCCAAGCGUUGUUCGGAUUCACUGGGCGUAAAGGGUGCGUAGGUGGUCAGGUAAGUCGGAUGUGAAAUCUCCGAGCUCAACUCGGAAACUGCAUUGGAAACUACCUGGCUCGAGGGUUGGAGGGGGGACUGGAAUGCUUGGUGUAGCAGUGAAAUGCGUAGAUAUCAAGCGGAACACCAGUGGCGAAGGCGAGUCCCUGGACAACUCCUGACACUGAUGCACGAAAGCGUGGGGAGCAAACAGG